GUGACAAUAAAUAACAAUAUAGGGCCCUUUCGGGUCUUAUGAUUGGAAUGAGAACAAUUUAAAUCCCUUAACGAGGAACAAUUGGAGGGCAAGUCUGGUGCCAGCAGCCGCGGUAAUUCCAGCUCCAAUAGCGUAUAUUAAAGUUGUUGCAGUUAAAAAGCUCGUAGUUGAACUUCAGAUCUGGCCGGAUGGUCUGCCUCACGGUAUGUACUGUCUUCGGCCGGGUCUUACCUCUUGGUGAGCCAUCAUGCCCUUUACUGGGUGUGGUGGGGAACCAGGACUUUUACCUUGAGAAAAUUAGAGUGUUCAAAGCAGGCAUAUGCCCGAAUACAUUAGCAUGGAAUAAUAAAAUAGGACGUGCGGUUCUAUUUUGUUGGUUUCUAGAGUCGCCGUAAUGAUUAAUAGGGAUAGUUGGGGGCAUUAGUAUUCAGUUGCUAGAGGUGAAAUUCUUGGAUUUACUGAAGACUAACUACUGCGAAAGCAUUUGCCAAGGAUGUUUUCAUUAAUCAAGAACGAAGGUUAGGGGAUCGAAAACGAUCAGAUACCGUUGUAGUCUUAACAGUAAACUAUGCCGACUAGGGAUCGGGUGAACUCAAUUUUAUGUGGCACUCGGCACCUUACGAGAAAUCAA
rnacentral:rRNA from 1 species